AGGCCAUCAGAACGGGCGUAGAAAAAUAUUUGGGAUUGAUCGCGGGACGAAAAUUCACCGGAAAGGCCGAAAUCGGCCGAAUCGACCGAGAAGCUCGAGGUGGCUUGAUGUGUAUGUGUUCAGGACGUGGUGGCAGGCUCUUGACAGUGUGUGUGUCAAGGGAAGCAGGAGGUGUUGCAGUACAUGCAACCUGUACAUGCAAGUAGACAUGUGGAGCACGAGGUGGAACGGCCAAGCACGAGGUGUUGCGAUGCAUGCGGCCAGCCAUGUGUGAGAUGGGGUGUCGACCUGCAUGCACUUCAGUCAUGCAGCAGGCCAUCUGGACGUGGGUGUGUCAUCCUGCAUGAGACUGAGGCAUGAAGCCAGCCAUGUGGAGCACGAGGUGGAACGGCCAAGCACGAGGUGUCGCGAUGCAUGCGACCGGGCCAUGCGGCCAGACAUGUGGAGGACGUGGUGUCAGCUUGCAUGAGAGCAGGCCAUGCAUUCAGACAGGUAGAGGGCGUGGUGUCAGCUUGCAUGUGAGCAGGCCAUGCUGAAGGACAUGUGGAGCACGAGGUGCCGCCGCGCAUGCGUCCGGAGCCAUGCGAAGCGACACACGGGCGGCCACACGGCUUGUUCCUGAUUUGUUGCUGAUUCCUAUAAAUAGGCCACGACCCCCUCUCAUUUCAAACCAUCCAGAACACAUCAAACCUACUUCAAAACAUAAAGAGAAAGCAAAGAAAGAAAGAUCGAAUUUCGAUAGUUUUCGAGCGAUUUAGGCAGUUUUCGAGAAAAGUUACUCUCCCAAUUUUGAGUCACCACUUGGAGAAAGUUAUUUUCAAGUGAAGAGAGAUCAGUUCUAGUGGAGACCAGUUCAAGUGGAAUUCAGUCAAGAAGAGGGUCUACUUGUGAAGGUCGGGAAAGGGUUCGGAUCGCAGAAGUCGGGCUUGGGGUCAAGGCCACGGUCAACCAAAAACUGUGAGUUAUAAUCAAUUGAUUGCUGAGUUGUUUUUUAUGCAGGGUCCCGUUACUUGGAAGUUGGAUCAUGGCAGGAGGCCAGGUCUAAGUGAGUAACGGUUUGAGUAGUUAAUAAUUGAGGUUAUGUUGAUUAAGUUGAUAGCAUGCUUAGUUAUUGCUUGAGAACCGUAGUAGCAUGCUAAUGGUUAGGUUGAUUGGUUAGUUAGCAAAUGCAGAAUGCUUAGAUGAUAUCGCUAAGUUGUGGAUAGUUAGGUAUUCUGGAAUUAGUCUUUAUGCUAGAUUCUGGAAUGUGGUUGAUUGUGUUGUGAUUAUUACUUGAAACCUUGUGUUAUUUUUACCGGGUUUAGUAUUAAUCGUAUAUUGGCCGAUAGCAUUUGUGUAACCCACAAUGCUAGGCAUAUUGGGUUGAGUUAGUGUUCCUUCAGACCUCGUACCCGGCGGGUUCAAGGAAACCCCUUAUUCGCGGGAUCGGGAAGACUCAGACGAAAGGUGUCAUGUACUAUGGCUGAGUAUUACACGACGGUGUAAUGGGGCAGUUACCCGAAGGACUGUGGGCUGUCGCGCGGUGACCCGAAGGACUGUGGGCCAUGGUCGGUUGAAAGUUCCUUCUUCUGGCCUUCGUGGUAGGAAGAUAGGAUAUUGCCGAUAGUGAAGUAGGAACAUAAAGUCACCAGGACCCGAGUUUGAUAUAUAUAUAUUAAAUCGUGUUUUGGGUUGUUAAACCCUGGUUUAAAUCGAGUUUGAGUUUGGCGAUGAGCUAGUAAUUAGCAUAAUGCUAGUUAUCUUGCUAUCUUUUACCGCUGCGUAUUUCAGAUAUUGCUUAUUGUUAUUGAAUUGUGUUGUUAGGUUAACCUCUCGCUUUAGAUAGUUUGGGGUGGGAUAGUGAGGGGUUGUAUUUGUUAGUUGGGGAUUGUAACUCGCUGAGUAAUGCUAGAUUACCCACUCCUCACUCGUUGUUGUUUUCAGGUGACCAGUAGUGAGCUUGUAGAAGGCGCGGGAGGCUAGGCUGGCUGGUGUUUUAUGCAAAUGCCUUGUUGUUCUGAUAUCAUUUGAAUCAAUCUACUACAUUGUCAAACCAGAUAUUAUAUAAAAUAAAUAAAGCGAAUGUUCUUGGCAUUCCACCAGUUGUAUAAUAUUUUGUGUAUUGUAAACCAGAUAUUAUAUAAAAUAAAUAAAGCGAAUGUUUUAUGCAAAUGCCUUGUUGUUCUGAUAUUAGCUUGUCCGAGCUAACACAACGUCAGAUUAGAGUACGGGUUGAGAAGCCUUAGGCUUUUGUCUGACGGGACGUGUUAGUGGGUGGCUGGCCUAGUUACGAAUUGCACCUUUUGUAACUUUGGCUGGAUUGCCCGUUAACCCGUCUUGUAGCGCUCCUGAACCUUGGUAGACGGUCGGGCCGUCGGUCAUGUUCUUGUUUGAUUGUUGGCCGGUGGUUCGACCUAUGCCUAGAACGGGUCGGGGGUGUUACAGAGGUGGUAUCAGAGCAUGGUUUCGACCAUGCGUGACCCAAGUGCUUUUUAACGGUUUUAUCGAGUCAAAGGAGUCGCAAAAAGAUGAUUAGGAAACCAGCCACUUCCCGUGGUAGGAAUGUGACUUACCUUUUUAUUAUGUGCAGAUGGCUAAUCGCGGGACAGGUGAUGUUGGACGAGGUCAGAUAUGGGGAGAGGGUAUGGAUUGGACAGGCGGAGGAUUGGGUCACAGAUCAGAUCAGGAUAAUGGAAAUGGCAUUAGUGAGAUGUUUGGACACGAUAGGAUCCCUCUGCAGGGAACAAGAUCUUUUCCUGUUUACGGUAACAUGACUAGAGUGAGAGAAGACAGUAUGGCGAGUAUUGGCCCAAGUCGUAAUUGGGACCAGAGACAUCAACAUGAUCAAUCCGUUCAAUCAAACCCAAGGCCAGAUCAGAACUGUGCCACCAAAAGACCACAAGAUCAUGGAACCGAAAACACCCUGAAGCUUUUACAUGACGUGAUGACCGAGGCACUUGGAAACCAAGGCAGGCGUACUCAACCCCCUGAAGUUUCCAAGCUAUUAUCUACCAUGAAGAACAUUGGAUCCUACAAGUUCAAAAGAGGAUCCGAUCCUAUUCAAGCCGACAAGUGGAUAACUAUGAUGGAGAAGAAUUUUGAAGCCAUGGAGUGCUCGGAGGAGUACAAGAAGAAGAUCGCUGUGUACUACUUGGAAGGCGACGCCACAGGAUGGUGGGACAGCAUAGACAGGCAACAUGGACACACCAUAACAUCAUGGGAGUCGUUCAAGGGAGAGUUUGAGAGGAAGUAUUUUCCUCCGGAAGCAAAGCAUCGAUUGGAGCGCCAGUUCAUGAACCUUGUUCAAGGAGAUAGGCCCCAAGGAGUUAUGAGUCGGAGUUCACAAGGUUGAGGCGACAUGUCUUUGAUGGGCGUGAAGAUGAAGCAACUAUGAUCCGUAACUUUAUGUACGGAUUGAAGCCGGAGCUUGGAAGUCGUUUAGCUGGAAGCAAAUUUAGCAGCUUAUCGGAUCUGGUAGAAAAGGCUGUUAAUGUUGAGACUGUAUUGGAGGCUGAAAGGAAGACCUUACCACAUUCUGGUGGACACACCAAGUUUAGCCAAGGAGAAAGGCCAAAUUUCAACAAGGGUCCAAGAUCUUACAAAGGCAAAGGGCGAGGCUUUGGAAGCCAAGCCAACAAUCGUAGUAACACUGGAGUAUGUUACAUAUGUGAUCAACCGGGACAUAUUUCUAAGUUUUGUCCCAACAGACAACGGAGUAACCAGCAAGGUUAUUCAUCGCUGAGGAUGGAAGAUGUUACUUGUUACUUCUGUGGAAGGAAGGGCCACUAUGCAUCGUCAUGUCCAAACAAGCCAAUCCCUGCGACCCCUCUCGCGAUCCAAGCUCCUCCUAGCCGUCCAGCUAUUGAGCCAGCACCAAAGAAGCAAAACCUAGGAGGUGGAGUUUAUGCCUUAGGUGUAGAAAACCCAGACAAUGCAGGACCGUCAAGCGGUCCCAUCACAGGUAUUGUGGGUGUUUAACCUCCUCUUUUUAUUGAAUGGAAAUUUAGUUUCUGGAAUCUAGUUAGUAUGCUGGUUAGGUAUAGAUUUCUUGAUCGCUAGGUUGCGCGUUUAGAAAUUUAGGAUGAUGAUUGAUGGUUGUGAGAAUUUUGAUUAGUUUUUGUGAUUGAGAUAUUGUUGAUUGGGUUACUGUGGCAGGAACCAUACAUGUUGCUGGUAAACCCACACAUGUAUUGUUCGACUCGGGGGCAACACAUAGUUUUGUGAACCCUGAAGUAGCUGCCCGGUUUUGGGAUUGUUUUGUGGUUGACAGGAUAGAUGUGGCCGUCUUGACCCCCGCAGACCAAACCCUUCAAGCAAAUCAGUGUAUCAAGAAUGUUCCAUUGGUCAUUCAAGGCAAAGAGUUUGUGGCAGAUCUGUUAGUCGUGCCUUUGAAAGGGUACGAGGUAAUCCUUGGAAUGGAUUGGUUAUCGAGCUACAGAGUUCAGAUCGACUAUGGAAAAGGAAGGUUGUUGUUCGGCAGAGGUAAACGACCAGAGAUGGUAUACUAUGGAAUCAGUCCUAGUAUGACCGUGUCUUUGGUAGCAGCAAUGAGAGUACAAGAUUUGUUUCAAGACGGGGAAGUAUAUUUGGUGACCUUAUCGGUUAGUGGAGGAGCCACUAAUGAUGAAGUUAAGGUCGAAGACAUAGAAGUGGUCCAAGCGUUUGAGGAUAUCUUUGCACCACUAAAGGAAUUACCUCAACCUCGGAGUAAUCCCUUUACCAUUACUUUGGAGCCUGAAGCAAAACAUAUAGCUAAGGCACCAUAUCGGAUGGCACCUGCGGAGUUGGCCGAGCUAAAGAAACAAUUGGAGGAUCUAUUGGAAAAGGGAUUCAUCCGGUCGAGCUCUUCACCUUGGGGAGCUCCUGUGCUAUUUGUGAAGAAGAAGGACGAAAGCAUGAGGCUGUGUAUCGAUUAUCGUGGUAUCAACAACAUCACGAUAAAAGAUAAGUAUCCUCUUCCGAGGAUAGACGAGUUGUUAGACCAACUAAAGGGAGCUAGUUGGUUUUCGAAGAUUGAUUUGGCAUCAGGGUAUCACCAAAUUCCUAUUGCCAAGUCAGAUAUUAUGAAGACGGCGUUUCAGACGAGAUAUGGGCAGUACGAGUUUGUAGUUAUGCCCUUUGGUCUCAUGAACGCACCUGCGGCUUUCAUGCGCUUGAUGAAUGAAGUGUUUCACGACUACCUUGAUAAGUUCGUGAUCAUUUUCAUUUACGACAUCCUGGUGUACUCGAGAAGUAAGGUAGAGCACAAAGAGCAUCUGAGACUGGUUAUGGAGAGGUUACGAAAUCAGAAGCUAUUUGCCAAGUUCAGCAAGUGCUCGUUUUGGAAGAGAGAGAUAGGAUUUCUGGGUCACAUAGUAUCAGGAGAGGGCGUGGCUGCUGAUCCAGAAAAAUUCCAAGCCAUACGAGAAUGGCCUCGACCUACCAUUGUGACAGAAGUAAGGAGUUUUCUCGGACUUGCGGGCUAUUAUCGGAAGGUUGUUAAGGACUUUUCCUCCAUUGCAAAGCCUUUAACUAAACUUACCGGUAAAGGAGUUCCUUUCUUAUGGGUGGAAGAAACCGAGAAGGCAUUCAAGAAGUUGAAGGAAGCUCUCACGACCGCACCUGUGUUAGCUUUGCCCGAGCAAGGCAAACCUUACACGGUUUACACGGAUGCUUCACGAGUUAGGUUAGGUUGUGUUCUUAUGCAAAAUGGGCGAGUCAUUGCAUAUGCUUCACGACAACUACGGAAGCAUGAGAAUAACUACAGUACGCAUGACUUGGAAUUAGCGGCCGUGGUGUUCGCUUUGCGAAUUUGGAGAUCUUACUUGUAUGGAGAAGAAGUGGAGGUAUACACGGACCAUCAAAGUCUUAAAUACCUCUUCACGCAGCCAGAUCUAAACCUGCGCCAGCGUAGGUGGAUGGAGUUUGUGGCAGACUAUGACAUACGGAUUCGCUACCAUCCUGGUAAAGCGAAUGUUGUUGCGGACGCCUUAAGUUGAAGAAAGUUGGUCGUUUUGGAACAAGUGAAGUUGGUCGUUUUGGAAGGGCAGACAAGCGAGCCAUUGGGACUUCAAGCAGUGAAUCAGGCCAGCUUGACUCAGAGAAUUCGAGAAGAACAACUUAAGGAUGAGAAGCUACUGAAGAUUGCUGAAGAACUCAAAGGACAAGCCGGGCCAAUUACUGCUGGAUACUACUUGGCGGAGGUCGGAACCUUGCUAAUUAAUGGGAGGAUCACGGUUCCUAAAGGACAAGGGCUGAGAGAUGAGAUACUAAGGAUUGCACAUCAUUCUUUACCCAAUAUCCAUCCUGGAAGUUCGAAGAUGUACCGAGACGUGAGAAGAUACUAUCAUUAGCCGGGCAUGAAGAGAUCAGUAGCACAAUGGGUUGCUCAGUGUGCAACUUGUCAACAAGUCAAGGUGGAACAUCAAGUUCCAGGAGGAUUGUUGCAGAGUAUUCCGAUACCUCAAUGGAAAUGGGACUCUAUUUCCAUGGAUUUCAUCACCGGAUUACCUACUGCUCCAGGUAGAUCGAACAACUCGAUAUGGGUGAUUGUGGAUAGGUUAACCAAGGUCACACACUUGUUGCCUAUGCGGGACACUGAUAAAGUUGAAGUUUUGGCCGAGCUGUACAUCGACCAAAUCGUGAAGUUACAUGGUGUACCCUCAGACAUCAUCUCAGAUCGCGAUCCAAGGUUCAUGGCAUCAUUCUGGGAAGCACUGCAAGAAACCUUGGGAACUAAACUUUACAAAAGCACGGCGUUCCAUCCAGAAACAGAUGGCCAAACGGAGAGGACCAUUAGGACCAUCGAGGACAUGCUGCGGAUGUGUAUUCUCGAUUGGGCAGGAACUUGGGAGAAGCAUUUACCAUUGGUCGAGUUCUCUUACAACAAUAGUCAUCAUUCGAGCAUAGGGAUGUCACCUUAUGAAGCGUUAUACGGAAGACCAUGCAAAACGCCUAUGUGUUGGACAGAAAUGGGCGAAAGAAGAAUGUUUGGGUCACCUAUUGUUCAGGAGACCAUGAUUAAACUGGAGACGAUUCAGGCCAACAUGAAGAAGGCUCAUGACCGUCAGAAGAAGUACGCAGACCAGUCAAGAAGAGAGGUAACUUUCGAGAUAGGAGAUUGGGUUUACUUGAAGGUUACAGCCCAAAAAGGGAAGGACAGAUUUGGCAAGGUUGGGAAACUUGCGGUCAGAUUCAUUGGUCCGUACAAGAUCAUCGGGAAAGUUGGUGAGGUAGCUUACCGAUUGGAUCUGCCAGCAGAUGUGCAUCUACAUCCAGUAUUCCAUGUUUCCAUGCUUCGGAAACAUAUACAGGAUCCAAGUGCUGUUGAGCACGAGAGAAUCGAGGAGUUGGAGACAAACCUUACGUAUCCGGAAGGACCAAUAAGAUUAGGAGAACGGCGUAUUCGGAAGCUCAAAAAUCGUGAGAUUUCUCAAGUAAAAGUGUUCUGGGGAAGGCAAAACAGGAUUCAUGUUACUUGGGAGGAUAAAGCGAGAUUUAAAACUGAUCACCCAGAAUUUUUCCGAGAGGACGUUGUAAUGGAAAAAGGAGGCCCCUCAGAGCCUUAGAAUUCGAGGACGAAUUCUGUUAACGGGGGGAGAAUGUAGAAACCUUUAAAAAAAAAAAAAGAAUGGUUGAGUAUCCUUUGGGUGAUCGAGUCGCGGACGAUCAGAUUGUUUUUGUCUGAACCAUGAGUCAAGUAUGCCGCUAGACAAUGGUUAGACAAUGUAGUAGAUUGAUUCAAAUGAUGUUUGAAGCAAGACACUUUUGGAAGCACAACAGGAAGACCGGAAAUUGGGCGAAAAACCCUAAAUUUCGGUAUUAUGAAAUUUUUUGAAGAAGCCGAAAGCUCGGUAAAUAUUUUUCCUCAAGAUCAGCGUCCCAGUAGGGUUUAUUAAAAAUACUCAGGCCAUCAGAACGGGAGUAGAAAAAUAUUUGGGAUUGAUCGCGGGACGAAAAUUCACCGGAAAGGCCGAAAUCGGCCGAAUCGACCGAGAAGCUCGAGGUGGCUUGAUGUGUAUGUGUUCAGGACGUGGUGACAGGCUCUUGACAGUGUGUGUGUCAAGGGAAGCAGGAGUUGUUGCAGUACCUGCAACCUGUACAUGCAAGUAGACAUGUGGAGCACGAGGUGGAACGGCCAAGCACGAGGUGUUGCGAUGCAUGCGACCGAAGCAUGCGGCCAGCCAUGUGUGAGAUGGGG
rnacentral:lncRNA from 1 species